GGCAAGAUGGCCGAGUGGUUAUGGCGUGUGACUCAAGCUGUUGCUUGCUCAAUAUAAUUGAGUAGUAUUCUCAUGGGCUUUGCCCGCGGGGGUUCGAAUCCCCCUCUUGUCA
rnacentral:tRNA from 1 species